rnacentral:rRNA from 1 species
AUUGGAAGAAUGUAAAGCUUCGGCUUGUUUACUAGGUUCUACCUAGUGAAUAUCGAAUUUUUCGAAUAAAGUUCUAGAUAAAAUACUGAUAAUGACAAUUUUUUAUCUAUAAGUCUUGACCAAAUUACGUGCCAGCAGUCGCGGCAAUACGUAGAAGACUAGUGUUAUUCAUCUUUAAUAGGUUUAAAGGGUACCUAGACGGUAUAAUUAGCCCAUACAGGGUACGAUCUUACUAGAGUUUUAUAUGAGAAGGUAGUAUUUAUAGAGUAAGAGAUAAAAUUCAAUGAUACUAUGAGGACUGAUAUCGGCGAAAGCAACCUUCUAUCUAAAAACUGACGUUGAGGGACGAAGGCCUGGGUAGCAAAGAGGAUUAGAUACCCUAGUAGUCCAGGCAGAGAAUUAUGAAUGCCAUAGACUAGAUUGAUUUAGUCUAUAAAUUAAAGUGUAAGCAUUCCACCUUAAGAGUAAUGCGGCAACGCAGGAACUGAAAUCAUUAGACCGUUUCUGAAACCAGUAGUGAAGUAUGUUAUUUAAUUCGUUGAUCCUCGAAAAACCUUACCACAAUUUGUAUAACUUAUUUAGUUUUAAAUAUUUUACAAGCGUUGCACGGUUGUCUUCAGUUAAUGUCGUGAGACUUUGGUUAGUUCCAUAAAAUUAACGUAAACCCUUGCUUUAUUUAAAAAUUUUAAUUUUAUAAAGCAGUUCACCUUUAUAUUGGAUAUGAUAACAGGGACCAAG